rnacentral:rRNA from 1 species
AUUGAACGCUGGCUGCAUGCCUUACACAUGCAAGUCGAACGGCAGCAUGAUCUUGCUUUUUUUAUUUAUGGCGAGUGGCGAACGGGUGAGUAAUACAUCGGAACUUGCCCUGUAGUGGGGGAUAACUAGUCGAAAGAUUAGCUAAUACCGCAUACGACCUGAGGGUGAGAGUUGGGGACCGCACGGCCUCCUGCUAUACCAGCGGCCGAUGUCUGAUUAGCUAGUUGGUGAGGUAAAGGCUCACCCAGGCGACGAUCAGUAGCUGGUCUGAGAGGACGAUCAGCCACACUGGGACUGAGACACGGCCCAGACUCCUACGGGAGGCAGCAGUGGGGAAUUUUGGACAAUGGGCGAAAGCCUGAUCCAGCAAUGCCGCGUGUGUGAAGAAGGCCUUCGGGUUGUAAAGCACUUCUGUCCGGAAAGAAAUGGCUCUGUUUAAUACCUGGGGUCGAUGAAGGUACCGGAAGAAUAAGGACAGGCUAACUACGUG